GGCCUUUCUCGAGGACCACUAAGGGCCUCCACAGCAGCUCACGGUGAAACCCGAGCAGUUUGGAGGGGGUUGACAGGUUUCCGAGUGGAAAAAAGGGGACAUAGUGUUCCUGCACAGCCAGCUGUCCUGCCCACGGAGACCUUUCUUCCGACUCACUUCCCAACCUGAGCUACCUCUUCCCGUCUUCCCACACGACAGCGACAGCGACAGCAGGACUUAUUCUCUGCCUCUCUCACAGGGCAGAAGCUCCAGGACAUCCAGCUGCAUGCACCGUGAGCCAAAGCUCAAAUUCUGCCUCUGGUCCCUGCUGGAACCCCAGCCCCAGUCUUCUGGACCAGAUGCACCUUCCACUCCAUCCCCAGCAGCAGGCGUCGGGAGAACCUUCCUAUCGAAUUUACCAGCAUGCUUCUACCUACAAGGAUUCGGACUCUGCCAGGGGCUGGUAGGGUAGCAAUGGAGAAAGGAGUCGUUUUGUCUCUCUAGUUACAUAAGGAUUCUCACGAAUAUGUGCAGUUGACAUUUUGACAGCACCUUCCCCCGGAUACCCACUAAGAGGAAACAAGAAUCUUUGUCCUGAAAUAGUUUCUCCUCAAUUAAGGAAUCACGGUCAUCCAAUAAAAUGCCCAGGUUUUAAGAGUACAGCUUGGUGAGAUUUCCCAAGUGCAUCCACGUGUGUAAUCACCACCCCAACAAGGAUGAAUGCAUUUCUACCCCC